UUGGGGUGUGGCCAAGCGGUAAGGCAGCGGUUUUUGGUACCGCGCAUCGGAGGUUCGAAUCCUUCCACCCCAGG
rnacentral:tRNA from 2 species